AUAUAGAUGGGUGAUGUGUAUCAGUCUUACAGUAGAAACAGACAUUUACAUUAACUGUAAACGUCUCACUGCUCUGUUUGAAAACAGCCUUUUGGCUCUGACCUUGAAAGAAUGAAGUGUACUGUGGUCUUUCUUGUGUUGUCCAUGGUGGUUCUCAUGGCCGAACCUGGAGAGGGUGUUACUAGAAUGUUUGCCAAUGCUGCAAAGGUGAACCACGAUCUUAUCAGCCGCGACUUGAAGCAGCAGCAAGAGCAGCAACAGGAGCAGCUGGAGCAUCUUGACAAACGUGGAAAUAUCUUUCGUUAUGGAUAAAAGAUUUUUCUUGCGCUUCAGCACAAGAAAGAAAAGUGUCUAUGAAGUUCAGGAAUGACUUCUUGACAAUACAGAUGUGCUGAUUUAAUACAAUGCAGAAUACUAAUAAAAUUUGGUGGAUGGUCAGUUGUUCAGAAUAAAUACGCAUUGCAAUAGAA